rnacentral:lncRNA from 1 species
AAGAUGGGUAGAGGUUAACAGAUUUUUUAAAUUAUAUUUUCAAUAUUAUUUUUACUAGUUUUCUCUCUAGCUCUUUUUUGUCCCUUUUCUCAGAAAUUGAGAGAGAGUGACAUGUUUCCUUGGCUUCAGGCAGAGUGGCCCACUGCAGUGGCUCUUCUCUAUUAGCAAGCAAUCAUAUCUAUAGCCAAGGCUGUUAUGACUUCCAGCCCUUUCCAUCUCACUAUCUGGCCAAGGCACACUUCUCAGAAGUCAGAAACAGUAAUGCUUACCUCCUCCUUUUGUUUGAUUCUUUAUCUCAAUGCUCAAAGUUUUCAUUACCAUUUAUUUCAGGAUCCCCCAGGGCUGAAAGGACUCCAAAGUCUGCCUUAUAACACUGGAUCUCUGAGAGAGAGAUUGCAUAUUCUCCCAGACAUCUUCUAUCCUCUUUGCUCUAAAGGCAAGAGGCAGACCAUCCCCGAUGGGCACAACGGCUUCUCCGGGGUGGAAACCAGGAAAGAAUGGAAAGUUGUGUCUGAACCCAGGACCCUCAGGAACCCCAGGGAUGCGGCUCUUUCGAAUGCUGGAGACGUUGGUGCCACCUACAAACCCAACGCCUCAGGGAGUUUUUCAGGAGGCGCCAUAGGGUAA